ACACACAUGCAAGUCGAACGAGAAGUACGUAGCAAUACGUAUUGUAAAGUGGCGCACGGGUGAGUAACACGUGGGUAAUCUGCCCUUGAGUUUGGGAUAACCCCGCGAAAGCGGGGCUAAUACCGAAUAAGACCACGGGGACCAAAGUCCCUGAGGUAAAAGGUGGCCUCUAUUUAUAAGCUACCACUUGAGGAUGAGCCCGCGGUCCAUUAGCUAGUUGGCAGGGUAACGGCCUACCAAGGCAAUGAUGGGUAGCUGGUCUGAGAGGACGAUCAGCCACACUGGAACUGAGACACGGUCCAUACUCCUACUGGAGGCAGCAGUGGGGAAUAUUGCGCAAUGGGCGAAAGCCUGACGCAGCAACUCCGCGUGGGGGAUGAAGGUUCUCGGAUUGUAAACCCCUUUCUACCGGAACGAAUCCCCUCCUGGUAAAUAAUCAGGAGGAUCGACGGUACCGGGAGAAGAAGCCACGGCUAACUCUGUGCCAGCAGCCGCGGUAAGACAGAGGUGGCGAGCGUUGUCCGGAUUUAUUGGGCGUAAAGCGAACGCAGGUGGUUUGGUAAGUCAGGGGUGA
rnacentral:rRNA from 1 species